UACGGAGGGUGCGAGCGUUGUCCGGAUUUAUUGGGUUUAAAGGGUGCGUAGGCGGCUUAUUAAGUCAGGGGUGAAAGACGGUGGCUCAACCAUCGCAGUGCCCUUGAUACUGAUGAGCUUGAAUGAACUAGAGGUAGGCGGAAUGUGACAAGUAGCGGUGAAAUGCAUAGAUAUGUCACAGAACACCGAUUGCGAAGGCAGCUUACUAUGGUUUUAUUGACGCUGAGGCACGAAAGCGUGGGGAUCAAACAGG
rnacentral:rRNA from 1 species